rnacentral:rRNA from 1 species
GAUGAACGCUGGCGGCGUGCCUAAUACAUGCAAGUCGAGCGAACGGACGAGAAGCUUUCUUCCCUGAUGUUAGCGGCGCAGGGGUGAGUAACAUGUGUAUAACCCACCUUUAAGACUGGGGUAACUUCGGGAAAACGGUGCUUAUACCGGAUUAUCUUCUCAACCGCAUGGUUCGAGACUGAAAGACGGUCUUGCUUCCACUUAUAGCUGGAUCCGCGCUGCAUUAGCUAGUUGGUAAGGUAACGGCUUACCAAGGCGACGAUCCAUAGCCGACCUGAGAGGGUGAUCAGCCACACUGGAACUGAGACACGGUCCAGACUCCUACGGGAGGCAGCAGUGGGGAAUAUUGCACAAUGGGCGAAAGCCUGACGGAGCAACGCCGCGUGUGUGAUGAAGGUCUUCGGGUCGUAAAGCUCUGUCAUCGGGGAGGAAGAGAUGAGAGAGAAACUGUGCGCAUAUUGACGGUACCUGAACAAGAAGCCACGGCUAACUACGUG